UACAGAGACCUCAAGCGUUAUCCGGAAUCAUUGGGCGUAAAGCGUACCGAUAGGUGGUCUUGAAAGGUUUGGGUAAAAGCCAGAAGCUCAACUUCUGAGUUUGCUCAAAAUACUGCAAGACUUGAGGGGCAAAGAGGAGAUUGGAACGAACGGUGUAGUAGUGAAAUGCGUUGAUAUCGUUCGGAACACCGAAAGCGAAGGCAGAUCGCUGGGUGCCACCUGACACUGCUAGGACGAAAGCGUGGGGAGCGAAUGGG
rnacentral:rRNA from 1 species